rnacentral:rRNA from 1 species
AGGGUUUGAUCCUGGCUCAGAACGUACGCUGGCGGCACGCCUAACACAUGCAAGUCGAACGAAGUAGCAAUACUUAGUGGCAGACGGGUGAGUAACAUGUAGGAAUCUUCCCUUUGGCCUGGAAUAACACGAGGAAACUUGUGCUAAUACCGGAUAAGUCUUUACGGAGAAAGCUUUAUGCACCAUUGGAUGAGCCUGCACUUGAUUAGUUUGUUGGUGGGGUAAUGGCCUACCAAGACUGUGAUCAAUAGCUGAUUUGAGAGGAUGAUCAGCCACAUUGGGACUGAGACACGGCCCAAACUCCUACGGGAGGCAGCAGUGGGGAAUCUUGCACAAUGGAGGAAACUCUGAUGCAGCGAUGCCGCGUGAGUGAAGAAGGCCCUUGGGUUGUAAAGCUCUUUCGUCGGGGAAGAAAAUGACUGUACCCGAAUAAGAAGGUCCGGCUAACUUCGUGCCAGCAGCCGCGGUAAUACGAAGGGACCUAGCGUAGUUCGGAAUUACUGGGCUUAAAGAGUUCGUAGGUGGUUGAAAAAGUUGGUGGUGAAAUCCCAGAGCUUAACUCUGGAACUGCCAUCAAAACUUUUCAGCUAGAGUUUGAUAGAGGAAAGCAGAAUUUCUAGUGUAGAGGUGAAAUUCGUAGAUAUUAGAAAGAAUACCAAUUGCGAAGGCAGCUUUCUGGAUCAUUACUGACACUGAGGAACGAAAGCAUGGGUAGCGAAGAGGAUUAGAUACCCUCGUAGUCCAUGCCGUAAACGAUGUGUGUUAGACGUUGGAAAUUUAUUUUCAGUGUCGCAGCGAAAGCGAUAAACACACCGCCUGGGGAGUACGACCGCAAGGUUAAAACUCAAAUGAAUUGACGGGGACCCGCACAAGUAGUGGAGCAUGUGGUUUAAUUCGAAGAUACGCGCAGAACCUUACCAACACUUGACAUGUUCGUCGCGACUUUAAGAGAUUAAAGUUUUCGGUUCGGCCGGACGAAACACAGGUGCUGCAUGGCUGUCGUCAGCUCGUGUCGUGAGAUGUUGGGUUAAGUCCCGCAACGAGCGCAACCCUCACUUUUAGUUGCCAUCAUUUAGUUGGGCACUCUGAAAGAACUGCCAGUGAUAAGCUGGAGGAAGGUGGGGAUGACGUCAAGUCCUCAUGGCCCUUACGUGUUGGGCUACACACGUGCUACAAUGGUAUCUACAACAGGAAGCAAAACGGCGACGUUAAGCAAAUCCUUAAAAGAUACCUCAGUUCGGAUUGCACUCUGCAACUCGAGUGCAUGAAGCUGGAAUUACUAGUAAUCGUGGAUCAGCGUGCCACGGUGAAUGCGUUCCCGGGUCUUGUACACACCGCCCGUCACACCAUGGGAGUUGGUUCUACCUUAAGGCAAGGUUUAAUACCCUUGACCACGGUAUAGUCAGCGACUGGGGUGAAGUCAUAACAAGGUAGCCGUA